UGUAAUUGAAUGGAAGAAAACAAUUACUUUGGUGUUUUGCAGCUCUGUUUCGUUCCCUGACGGUAACCAAAUCUAGAUGUAGGGAUCUGUUGAGCAGGAGAGUGACACAUGUCUUCCCGAAGGCUGUCCAGGCUGCAGUGGUGAUGAAGAAGACACGAUCAUCACCCCGAGAUCGAUCGUAGCGAAUUGGAAAACUCAUGGUGAAUUUGCUUCCACUCCAAGGCAAUGUCGAGUGGCAUAUUGCAAAUUUCGUGGACGAACAACUCUAGUCACUAGUGGCUAGUGAGCAACACUAACAGAGCCUUGACGUUGCUGGACGAGCGACAAUAUAAAUUACAUAAACAUGUAGCUCGUGAUGUGGGAUGACUGCCGUAUCGCAUUGCCAACGCAAACCCAUCCUGUGUCAGUGCAGCCAUCCAGCAACUUGAACUCCCC